UACAGAGGGUGCGAGCGUUAAUCGGAAUUACUGGGCGUAAAGCGUGCGUAGACGGCUAUCUAAGUCGGGUGUGAAAGCCCCGGGCUCAACCUGGGAAUUGCAUUCGAGACUGAAUAGCUAGGGUACGGUAGAGGGAAGCGGAAUUUCCGGUGUAGCGGUGAAAUGCGUAGAUAUCAGGAGGAACACCGGUGGCGAAGGCGGUUCUCUGGGCCUGUGCCGACGUGAGGAGCGAAAGCGUGGGGAGCGAACAGG
rnacentral:rRNA from 1 species